AGAUGAAGUCUCAUUGUGCUGCCAGGCUCGCCUCCAACUCCUGACCCUCUGCCUCAGUGUCCUGAGCAGCUUAGAUUGCAGACAAGCCAGCACCUCUAAGAGAAGUGGACAUGGAUUUGAUGGAUUUCAGUUUUUUGAGACUUUUCAGAGUAAACGCUGUAGAAGGUUGCAGAAGAAAGCAGAAUCAGGCAGAGGAAGAGCAUGGAGCCCAGGUGCAGGCCCAGGAAAUAACCUAGCGAACCACGCAGGGAGCUCAGCAGCUGAAGCUGCCUUCAGAGCUGCUCCUUGCACGAUGGAAAUGUCCCAGCCUGCAGGCCCGUGCUUCACUCACUCACAGAUGCAAGCUGCCUUGGAGCACGACCUUAACGCGGUGGGUUUCACACCUGCAACACAGCCGAGGCUCCGACAGCUGGAAGCUCUGCGGGGCGAUCGCCCACGGCUGCGCGCUGCCGUCGCCCCGGAGCCCGCACGGAUUGGCUCCACGCCCGCUGUAGACAGCAGCAUCCACGGCUGCUCACGUCCUUUAUGUAAAAUAGUGUAGUAUUUGCAUGUAUCUUACAAACAUCCUCCGAUAUUCUUUAAAUCAUCUCUAGAGUACUUAAUUCAACGUAAUAUUAUAUAAUAGUUAUACUAUUAUCAUCUAGGGAAGAUGAUAAGAAAAAAGUGUGCACUUGUGCGGCGCAGACGCAGUUUCCCCAAACGUUCCCCACCCGCGGCUGUUUGCAUCCACACAGAGGGAGGGCCAGCUGCUUCACUCCCUGACGGGGUGGGCAGUGCGUCUCUGUCCAUCAGUGUGGCUUGCAG